rnacentral:tRNA from 1 species
AUUUAAAUAGUUUUAAAAAAAAUAUUGAUUUGUGGUAUCAAAGUUAUUAAAUUUUAAUUUUAAAUA